rnacentral:rRNA from 1 species
AUUGAACGCUAGCGGGAUGCCUUACACAUGCAAGUCGAACGGCAGCGCGGACUUCGGUCUGGCGGCGAGUGGCGAACGGGUGAGUAAUGUAUCGGAACGUGCCCAGUAGCGGGGGACAACCACUCGAAAGAGUGGCUAAUACCGCAUACGCCCUACGGGGAAAGGGGGGGAGUCGCAAGACCUCUCACUAUUGGAGCGGCCGAUAUCGGAUUAGCUAGUUGGUGGGGUAAAGGCCUACCAAGGCGACGAUCCGUAGCUGGUUUGAGAGGACGACCAGCCACACUGGACUGAGACACGGCCCAGACUCCUACGGGAGGCAGCAGUGGGGAAUUUUGGACAAUGGGGGAAACCCUGAUCCAGCCAUUCCGCGUGUGCGAUGAAGGCCUUCGGGUU